ACCUACAGACAUUCCACCCUGAAUGCUCCUGAUCUCUUCUGAUCUCGGAAGCUAAGCAGGGUAGGACCUGGUUAGUACUUGGAUGGGAGACUGCCUGGGAAUGCUGAGUGCUGUAGUCU
rnacentral:rRNA from 1 species